CCAAUAGCGUAUAUUAGUGUUGUUGCGGUUAAAAAGCUCGUAGUUGAAUUUCGGGAUUGGGAUAUAUCGGUCAUGCCUUUAGGGGCAUGAAUCGGUGUGUAGCCAAUUUCUCACCUUCUGGUGAAUUGGGAUGCUCUUGGGUGUUUCAAUGAACUAGGACUUUUACUUUGAAAAAAUUAUAGUGUUUAAAGCGGGCAUUUUUGCUUGAAUACAUUAGCAUGGAAUAAUAAAAUAGGACGAUGGUUCUAUUUUGUUGGUUUUAGGACCACGUAAUGAUUAAUAGGGAUAGUUGUGGGCAUUAGUAUUCAAUAGUCAGAGGUGAAAUUCUUGGAUUUAUUGAGGACUAACUACUGCGAAAGCAUUUGCCAAGGAUGUUUUCAUUAAUCAAGAACGAAAGUUAGGGGAUCGAAGACGAUUUAUGUACGUCGUAGUCUUAACCAUAAACUAUGCCGACUAUGAAUCAGACAAAGUUCAUUUUUUAACGACUUGUUUGGUACCUUACG
rnacentral:misc_RNA from 1 species